CUUUUGCUGACAUCUGGUAGAAACUCUUCCCUUCAGCUGCAGUCCUACAGAAAUGCCUCUGCCAAUGGGAACUACUGCCAACAAAUCUGUGAGAUGGCCUCUUCUGCAAGAUGGCCGCCAAAGGGAAGAAUGUCAUCAGAGCCACGACUGAAGAAAAGCUGUUACGAUGACUGGAGCAGAUUGUGCAUUAAGGCACUGAGGAUCCUCUAGCUUUAGCCCAGGGAGAUGUCUGGAGUAUGACCAAAGCUUGCAUAUGAGCAUUACAAUGACAAAACAAUGGAAGAAGAAACCAAGCCUGGCAAUGCCGUGGUCCUGCAGCACUCUCAGUGCCAAACCCAGAUUCAAACGCCAUUGAAAAGCAGCUAAAAAGAUGGUCAAUGGAAGUCCACUG
ensembl:lncRNA